AGUGAACGCUGGCGGUAGGCCUAACACAUGCAAGUCGAACGGCAGCACAGUAAGAGCUUGCUCUUACGGGUGGCGAGUGGCGGACGGGUGAGGAAUACAUCGGAAUCUACUUUUUCGUGGGGGAUAACGUAGGGAAACUUACGCUAAUACCGCAUACGACCUACGGGUGAAAGCAGGGGAUCUUCGGACCUUGCGCGAUUGAAUGAGCCGAUGUCGGAUUAGCUAGUUGGCGGGGUAAAGGCCCACCAAGGCGACGAUCCGUAGCUGGUCUGAGAGGAUGGUCAGCCACACUGGAACUGAGACACGGUCCAGACUCCUACGGGAGGCAGCAGUGGGGAAUAUUGGACAAUGGGCGCAAGCCUGAUCCAGCCAUACCGCGUGGGUGAAGAAGGCCUUCGGGUUGUAAAGCCCUUUUGUUGGGAAAGAAAAGCAGCAGGUUAAUACCCCGCUGUUCUGACGGUACCCAAAGAAUAAGCACCGGCUAAGUUCGUG
rnacentral:rRNA from 1 species